UAAUACAUGCAAGUCGAACGCUUUGUGGUUCAACUGAUUUGAAGAGCUUGCUCAGAUAUGAUGAUGGACAUUGCAAAGAGUGGCGAACGGGUGAGUAACACGUGGGAAACCUACCUCUUAGCAGGGGAUAACAUUUGGAAACAGAUGCUAAUACCGUAUAACAAUAGCAUCCGCAUGGUUGCUACUUAAAAGAUGGUUCUGCUAUCACUAAGAGAUGGUCCCGCGGUGCAUUAGUUAGUUGGUGAGGUAAUGGCUCACCAAGACGAUGAUGCAUAGCCGAGUUGAGAGACUGAUCGGCCACAAUGGGACUGAGACACGGCCCAUACUCCUACGGGAGGCAGCAGUAGGGAAUCUUCCACAAUGGGCGAAAGCCUGAUGGAGCAACGCCGCGUGUGUGAUGAAGGGUUUCGGCUCGUAAAACACUGUUGUAAGAGAAGAAUGACAUUGAGAGUAACUGUUCAAUGUGUGACGGUAUCUUACCAGAAAGGAACGGCUAAAUACGUGCCAGCAGCCGCGGUAAUACGUAUGUUCCAAGCGUUAUCCGGAUUUAUUGGGCGUAAAGCGAGCGCAGACGGUUAUUUAAGUCUGAAGUGAAAGCCCUCAGCUCAACUGAGGAAUUGCUUUGGAAACUGGAUGACUUGAGUGCAGUAGAGGAAAGUGGAACUCCAUGUGUAGCGGUGAAAUGCGUAGAUAUAUGGAAGAACACCAGUGGCGAAGGCGGCUUUCUGGACUGUAACUGACGUUGAGGCUCGAAAGUGUGGGUAGCAAACAGGAUUAGAUACCCUGGUAGUCCACACCGUAAACGAUGAGUGCUAGGUGUUUGAGGGUUUCCGCCCUUAAGUGCCGCAGCUAACGCA
rnacentral:rRNA from 1 species